UACAGAGGGGGCAAGCGUUGUUCGGAAUUACUGGGCGUAAAGGGCGCGUAGGCGGCCUUCUAAGUCGAACGUGAAAUCCCCGGGCUCAACCCGGGAACUGCGUCCGAUACUGGAAGGCUUGAAUCCGGGAGAGGGAUGCGGAAUUCCAGGUGUAGCAGUGAAAUGCGUAGAUAUCUGGAGGAACACCGGUGGCGAAGGCGGCAUCCUGGACCGGCAUUGACGCUGAGGCGCGAAAGCGUGGGGAGCAAACAGG
rnacentral:rRNA from 1 species